CGCGUAGGCGGUUCGGUUAGUUAGGCGUGAAAUUCCUGGGCUCAACCUAGGGACUGCGCUUAAUACAGCCGGGCUUGAGUUCGGAAGAGGGUAGUGGAAUUCCCAGUGUAGAGGUGAAAUUCGUAGAUAUUGGGAAGAACACCGGUGGCGAAGGCGGCUACCUGGUCCGAUGACGCUGAGGCGCGAAAGCGUGGGGAGCAAACA
rnacentral:rRNA from 1 species